UACGAGGGGGGCAAGCGUUGUUCGGAAUUAUUGGGCGUAAAGGGCGCGUAGGCGGUGCGGUAAGUCUGAUGUGAAAUCUCCGGGCUCAACUCGGAGUCUGCAUCAGAAACUGCCGUGCUCGAGUGUGGGAGAGGUGAGUGGAAUUUCCGGUGUAGCGGUGAAAUGCGUAGAUAUCGGGAGGAACACCUGUGGCGAAAGCGGCUCACUGGACCACAACUGACGCUGAGGCGCGAAAGCUAGGGGAGCAAACAGG
rnacentral:rRNA from 1 species